UCGGAUUGUAGUCUGCAACUCGACUACAUGAAGCUGGAAUCGCUAGUAAUCGCGGAUCAGAAUGCCGCGGUGAAUACGUUCCCGGGUCUUGUACACACCGCCCGUCACACCAUGGGAGUCGGAAAUGCCCGAAGUCUGUGACCCAACCGCAAGGAGGGAGCAGCCGAAGGCAGGUCGGAUGACUGGGGUGAAGUCGUAACAAGGUAAC
rnacentral:rRNA from 1 species